GAGUAGUAGUAGAUAAGAUCUUUAAACUCAAAAAAUUUGGCGGUAUUUUAUCUUGUUAGAGGAACCUGUCUAUUAAUUGAUAUUCCACGACUUUAAUUUACUUUUAUUAAAUUAUUUGUAUACCGUUGUCAUAAAUCUACUAAAAGGUUAAUUUUUGAGGAUUUUUAUAUAAUUUAUGUUAGAUCAAGGUGCAGUUUUUAGAAGAAUAAGGUGGGUUACAUUUUUUAUAAUGAAUGAAAAUUAUUGCUAAAGGUAAUAAUAGAAAUGGGAUUUAAGAGUAAGGGAGAUUAUUAAAGACUUUAUAUGAAUAAAGAUUCUAAAAUAUG
rnacentral:rRNA from 1 species